ACCAUCAGUCUUCGGGUUUUAUCCUAAGACCCUCACCAGACAGGUGCAAGUGAUCUGCCCUCUCCUGCCGUCAGGGAACUGCCAGCAGGCAGACGCCUCUGGUGUACAGGGGAGCACCCCCACCCCGAAGACAGAUGGGAACUCAGACUUCCCAGUGGCCUUUGUGUGGACACCUCAGCCCCUGGCUCCGCGAGGGGCAGGGGUCCUGGGCUGAUGGAGGGGGUGCGACUUCACAGAGUCUCCUGUUGAAACGCAAUGUGGGCAGCUUGAGGGUUUGCAGAAACUUGUUUUUCAGACAAGAAUUAUGUGUGUUCCCUUUCUCAUUAAAACCUCAAACACAUAGUUUACAGUCCCUAAAAUGGGAAAAUGGCUGAAAAAGCCAUUCUGUCUCUCUCAGACUUAGCACUGAGGACCUGGAAGGGACGGCGCUGGAGCCAACAUGAAAGAACGUUGCUUUCCCCAAAUCCUGGAACUGUUUUUAUCACCCUUCAUGUUUUCCUCACCCUUCAUGUUUUCCUCAUGUUUUUCUUCUUUAAAAGUGUCUCUUCUUAAGGGAACCAGCUGUAGAAUGUUCAGGGGUCAGGGCUGGCCAGCUGCCGGCAUCCAAACUGAGCGGCCCUCUGGACACUUGGCCGCAAUUCUCCAACGAGCUGUGACCACAAGGCUUCAGUGCAAACAAAAAUAAAACUCUGUCCCGGGCUUGCAGGAGAAGGGAGGCCUCAGGACCCUCCCCGGCCGUGCAGACAGCACAGGUAGAACUGCCCCCCCCACCCCCGCGCCCAGCAGGUCAUAAACCCACAGGAGGAGUCCAGUCCCUCCGCGGGCGGUGCGGGCCCUGGGAAAGUAGAGCCGUACUUUGGAGGAAUUCCACGGCGCCUGCGUGUGUGGAGGGCACGGGCCACUCUGGGCUCACACCUGCCGACCACCCGGCCGUCCGGCUGCCCCCAGGCUGCGCAGGCUUCCUGGCGCUGUCGGGUGGGGGCUUCUGCUGAGCAGGUCUUAGUGCUUUACAGGCGUGCGCCAAGAGUUCGCAGCAGCUGCCCCACGGAGAUUACCAAUUUGGGCCAUAGCCUUCUCCUCAAAACCUUCAUACACUCCCUCAGCGGUCUUCUGUCUGGGUUCCCGCUGCCGCAGGCGUGACCUGGGGGCGGCGUCAGAUGCCCUGCAAGCCCGGUGUCCUUCCCACCCCUCAUCCCAGGUGCCAGCCUGCAGAGGACACGGUGAGCCGGCCCCGGGUGGAUGGAGCAUCGCUGCCCGAAGGUGGGGCUGGCGGCUGGAGAGCCUGCAGGCUGGGCCUCUGCCAGGCCGCGGGGACGGCUCAGCUUCUCCCGGACCCGGACAGACGGGUUAUUUCUGCUGGAAAGCCCUGAGGCUAAGCCGAGCGCGUGCUCACUGCCGCUGCCUGCACCUCGGCCUUAGCACCCCUCCA